AGAGAGAGAAAGAGAGAGACAGACAGACAGAGACAGAGACAGAGAGAAUAGAUAAUGGUAAGUAUAGUUAUUGAGAUAACAGAAUGGCCCUAGUUUAGAGUUGGAAGGCAAACAUAACUCUAAAAAUGGUUAUCAAUGACUUUUCAGAACAUUAAAAUAAGUCAAACCAAUUAGGACAAAUGAUCAUGCAAUUUUACAAUGCUUCUUGUUUGAAAUUUUACUUCUACAGAUGGAUCAAGGGAUUAGGGGUAACUAAAAAGUCUGAAUUGCCUGGGAGAUAGUAGAAUUGCUGGGUUGCAAGGAAAGUUCUCUGGUGUGUUCAUUGAUCUUUAAAUAAGACCAAGGGAUGGUGGGAAGAAAAAACAACUGGCAUUUUGUUGGAUGUACUCUAUGUGAAAUGCUCUACUAGGCUCUGUCACAGACACAUUAUUUCAUAUAUUAUCACCUGAGCCCUUUAAGAUUGGCAUUUUUUGUUUUUUUAUUUUUCCAGUGGCAAUGCUGAAGCUUUGGAGGUUUAUAUAACCUGACCAGUGUCAGGCAGCUAACAAAUUUUGAAAUUAUGUCUAGAAUUCAAAUAAGUUUGUCUCCAAAAUCUGUAUUUUUCUUCAACCAGAUAUAUCUCACAUGAUUUAUUUUUCUCAUAAUCACUCAUGACAGAAGUAAGUAUUUAAUCACUACAUAUCUUCCCAGACUCAUUUUUCUCCAGACUCUUCUCUCUGCAGUUAUUUUCUACUUCUGUCAUUGGGCAGAUGCCUUAUGCUUUUUCAAACACUCCUAUCCAAAAGCUCUAUCUAUUCUUUGGCUCAAUUUGCCUGCAAUGCCUUCACCAGGACAUUGACUCAUUGACUUGGGUUGCCUUUUAUUCACAUGGGUAUAAGAGUUCGUGGGCUGGAAGCCAAACAUACAUAUAUAUACAUGAAUUGGAAUUUUACAUUACAUUAAACUGUGAAACAGAGAAACUGGGCAAAAGCAGUAGCAAUUUUGCUUUUCAGAGAUUUAAUUUUGGGAUGUGAUGAUGCUUUUUUCUUUUUUUCUAGUUAUUUAAUAUUUAUUUUAAGAAAGCUUUUUUGCUAUCCUAUUUCACUUCCUAACAUACAAUCUAGCCAAUUAAAUCAUGAGUCUGAAACUUCAAGGCCUUGAGCAAGUUCUUUACCGAGGGACUGGUUCACUGUUGUGUUGAGAAUAGAUUUUGGAUGCCAUGGUGAAAGCAGGAAGACCAAUUUCAAAGAUAUUGGAAUAAUUCAGAAUUCUGUAUAUGUGGGCCUACUUUUCUAGGAGAUUGUAAUAAAAGCCACCAAAGCAAUUCUGGACCACUGCACAAAUUA